rnacentral:rRNA from 1 species
UACGGAGGGAGCUAGCGUUGUUCGGAAUUACUGGGCGUAAAGCGCGCGUAGGCGGCUUUGUAAGUCAGAGGUGAAAUCCCGGAGCUCAACUCCGGAACUGCCUUUGAGACUGCAUCGCUUGAAUCCAGGAGAGGUGAGUGGAAUUCCGAGUGUAGAGGUGAAAUUCGUAGAUAUUCGGAAGAACACCAGUGGCGAAGGCGGCUCACUGGACUGGUAUUGACGCUGAGGUGCGAAAGCGUGGGGAGCAAACAGGG